AAAUUCAGGGCUCAACCCCUGACUUGCAGCCGAUACGGGCAAGCUAGAGUUUGGUAGGGAGACUGAAUUCCUGGUGUAGCGGUGGAAUGCAGCAGAUAUCAGGAGGAACACCGAUGGCGAAGGCAGGUCUCUGGGUCAAUACUGACACUGAGGAGCGAAAGCGUGGGGAGCGAACAGGAUUAGAUACCUGGUAGUCCACGCCGUAAACGGUGGGCGCUAGUUGUGCGAACCUUCCACGGUUUGUGCGACGCAGCUAACGCAUUAAGCGCCCCGCCUGGGGAGUACGAUCGCAAGAUUAAAACUCAAAGGAAUUGACGGGGCCCCGCACAAGCAGCGGAGCAUGCGGCUUAAUUCGACGCAACGCGAAGAACCUUACCAAGGCUUGACAUAUACAGGAAUAUGGCAGAAAUGUCAUAGCCGCAAGGUCUGUAUACAGGUGGUGCAUGGUUGUCGUCAGCUCGUGUCGUGAGAUGUUGGGUUAAGUCCCGCAACGAGCGCAACCCUCGUUCUGUGUUGCCAGCAUUUAGUUGGGGACUCACAGGAGACUGCCGGGGUUAACUCGGAGGAAGGUGGGGAUGACGUCAAAUCAUCAUGCCCCUUAUGUCUUGGGCUGCACGCAUGCUACAAUGGCUGGUACAAACGGCUGCGAUACCGCAAGGUGGAGCGAAUCCGAUAAAGCCAGUCUCAGUUCGGAUUGGGGUCUGCAACUCGACCCCAUGAAGUCGGAGUUGCUAGUAAUCGUAGAUCAGCAACGCUACGGUGAAUACGUUCCCGGGGCUUGUACACACCGCCCGUCACAUCACGAAAGUCGGUAACACCCAAAGUCAGUGGCCCAACCGCAAGGAGGGAGCUGCCAAAGGUGGGAUCGGUGAUUGGGAUGAAGUCGUAAC
rnacentral:rRNA from 1 species